rnacentral:rRNA from 1 species
AGAGUUUGAUCCUGGCUCAGAACGAACGCUGGCGGCGUGGCUAAGACAUGCAAGUCGCGGGGUGAAAAUGAUCCGUAGCAAUACGGUGAAACACGACCGGCGCAAGGGUGAGUAAUGGAUGGGUAACGUGCCCUGGACACGGGGAUAGCCGUCCGAAAGGACGAUUAAUACCCGAUGACAUGCCGGCCCCACAUGGGGUCGGCCUCAAAGGUCGGGGACCGCAAGGCCUGGCGGUCUGGGAUCGGCCCAUUUCCUAUCAGCUAGUUGGUGAGGUAACGGCCCACCAAGGCAUCGACGGGUAGCGGGACUGAGAGGUUGGCCCGCCACAUUGGCACUGAGACACUGGCCAGACUCCUACGGGAGGCUGCAGUAACGGAUCUUCCGCAAUGGGCGCAAGCCUGACGGAGCGACGCCGCGUGCAGGAGGAAGCCCUUCGGGGUGUAAACUGCUGUCAGGGGUAAGCAAGCGACCCGGGUGAACAAUCCGGGAAGUUGAGCUAUCCCAGAGGAAGCCACGGCUAACUCUGUGCCAGCAGCCGCGGUAAUACAGAGGUGGCAAGCGUUGUUCGGAAUCACUGGGCUUAAAGGGCGCGCAGGCGGCCGACAGGGUGUCUUGUGAAAUCCCCCGGCUUAACCGGGGAACUGCGAGGCAAACCGGUCGGCUUGAGGCAGGUAGGGGCCGAUGGAACUCUGGGUGGAGCGGUGAAAUGCGUAGAUAUCCAGGGGAACGCCAAUGGUGAAAACAGUCGGCUGGGCCUGUCCUGACGCUGAGGCGCGAAAGCCAGGGGAGCAAACGGGAUUAGAUACCCCGGUAGUCCUGGCCCUAAACGAUGUCCACUGGGUUUGAGAAUCUCUGACGGUUCUCGGGCCGAAACAAAAGUGUUAAGUGGACCGCCUGGGGAGUACGGCCGCAAGGCUAAAACUCAAA